ACGGGGGUUGCAAGCGUUGUCCGGAAUUACUAGGCGUAAAGGGCAGGUAGGCGGAUCCAUAAGUUUUUUGUUAAAGGCAACGGCUUACCCGUUGUAAGGCAGGAGAUACUGUGGAUCUGGAAUGCGGUUGGGGAAGACAGAAUUCCUGGUGUAGGGGUGGAAUGCUCUGAUAUUAGGAGGAAUACCGAAAGCGAAGGCGUUUAACUAAGACGUCAUUGACGUUAAGUUGUGAAUGUGUGGGGAUCGAACAG
rnacentral:rRNA from 1 species